rnacentral:rRNA from 1 species
CCCUUAGAUGUUCUGGGCCGCACGCGCGCUACACUGAUGAAUGCAACGAGCUCUACCCUUGACCGAAAGGCCCGGGUAAACUUGUGAAACUUCAUCGUGAUGGGGAUAGAUUAUUGCAAUUAUUAAUCUUCAACGAGGAAUUCCUAGUAAGCGCGAGUCAUCAGCUCGCGUUGAUUACGUCCCUGCCCUUUGUACACACCGCCCGUCGCUCCUACCGAUUGAAUGGUCCGGCGAAAUCUUCGGAUUGCUGACCAAGAUCCAGCAAUGGAGCUUGGUUGCGAGAAGUUGAUUAAACCUUAUUAUUUAGAGGAAGGAGAAGUCGUAACA